UUUUAUGUUUUUUUAAAAACAACCCACAGUUACUACAAAAGUUUCU
rfam:Mesitornis unicolor contig5030, whole genome shotgun sequence.